rnacentral:rRNA from 1 species
CCUGGUCUUGACAUCCACGGAAGUUUUCAGAGAUGAGAAUGUGCCUUCGGGAACCGUGAGACAGGUGCUGCAUGGCUGUCGUCAGCUCGUGUUGUGAAAUGUUGGGUUAAGUCCCGCAACGAGCGCAACCCUUAUCCUUUGUUGCCAGCGGUCCGGCCGGGAACUCAAAGGAGACUGCCAGUGAUAAACUGGAGGAAGGUGGGGAUGACGUCAAGCCAUCAUGGCCCUUACGACCAGGGCUACACACGUGCUACAAUGGCGCAUACAAAGAGAAGCGACCUCGCGAGAGCAAGCGGACCUCAUAAAGUGCGUCGUAGUCCGGAUUGGAGUCUGCAACUCGACUCCAUGAAGUCGGAAUCGCUAGUAAUCGUGGAUCAGAAUGCCACGGUGAAUACGUUCCCGGGCCUU